UGAGCAACCUGCCCUUGACCCUGGAAUAACAGCUGGAAACAGCUGCUAAUACCGGAUAUGACCUCCGAUGGCAUCAUCUGGAGGUGGAAAGCUCCGACGGUCAAGGAUGGGCUCGCGGCCUAUCAGCUUGUUGGUGAGGUAACGGCUCACCAAGGCUUCGACGGGUAGCCGGCCUGAGAGGGCGACCGGCCACACUGGGACUGAGAUACGGCCCAGACCUCUACGGGAGG
rnacentral:rRNA from 1 species